AGAUAUUUGUACCUUCUGUGUUGCUUCUAUUUAAGUAAUCUUGAAAUGACUGUUGGGAUCAAGGCUCUGCCUGGACAUGCAGCAUUGCUGGAAACUACUGCUCCCCAAGGUGAAGAUACUGAUCCUGCUUAUGGAGAUUAGCUGACAACAAUUUAAAGUCUUGAGAGAGUGAGGAAUAUGCAGGAAUAUCAUAAACACUCAAAAUGAAACCACAGAAAAAAGGGAAGCUUUAAAGGAUGUAGUUUUACUAAAAGAUUGGAAUAAAUGCUCAACACAACUAACAUACAUGUCCAGUUUGGCCUUGAGCCAGCACAGAGCAACACCAGUUGGUUUUGUCUAAAGGCAAAUCUUUGUAAAAUAAAAUAAAAUACAACA